rnacentral:rRNA from 1 species
GACGAACGCUGGCGGCGUGCUUAACACAUGCAAGUCGAACGGAAAGGCCCUGCUUUUUUGGGGUUCUCGAUUGCCGAACGGGUGCGUAAAACGUGAGUAACCUGCCCUUCACUUUCGUAUAACUUCACGAAACUGGGCUUACUCCCGUACAGCAUCCCCCCUUCCUGUGGGGGGUUGGGAAAUUUUAGGCGGUUGGGGUUGAAUCCGCGGCUUAUCAGCUUGUUGGUGGGUUAGGGGCUUACCAAGCCUUUGAAGGUUGCCUGGCUUGUGAGGGUGACCGGCGACAUUGGGACUGAGAUACGGCCCAGACUGGUACGGGAGGCAGCAGUGGGGAAUAUUGCACAAUGGGAGGAAGCCUGAUGCAGAAACGCCGCGUGCGGGAUGACGGCCUUCGGGUUGUAAACCGCUUUCGCCUGUGACGAAGCGUGAGUGACGGUAAUGGGUAAAGAAGCACCGGCUAACUACGUG